GUCCAUGCCGUAAACGAUGUCUACUAGCCGUUGGGUCUUUGAGACUUUAGUGGCGCAGCUAACGCGAUAAGUAGACCGCCUGGGGAGUACGGUCGCAAGACUAAACUCAAAUGAAUUGACGGGGGCCCGCACAAGCGGUGGAGCAUGUGGUUUAAUUCGAUGCAACGCGAAGAACCUUACCUGGGUCUUGACAUAGUAAGAACUUUCCAGAGAUGGAUUGGUGCCUUAGGGAACUUACAUACAGGUGCUGCAUGGCUGUCGU
rnacentral:rRNA from 1 species